rnacentral:rRNA from 1 species
AUCAACUUUCGAUGGAGGAUAGAGGCCUACCAUGGUGGUAACGGGUAACGGGGAAUUAGGGUUCGAUUCCGGAGAGGGAGCCUGAGAAACGGCUACCACAUCCAAGGAAGGCAGCAGGCGCGCAAAUUACCCAAUCCCGACACGGGGAGGUAGUGACAAUAAAUAACAACACAGGGCUCUUUUGGGUCUUGUUAUUGGAAUGAGUACGAUUUAAAUCUCCUAACGAGGAACAAUUGGAGGGCAAGUCUGGUGCCAGCAGCCGCGGUAAUUCCAGCUCCAAUAGCGUAUAUUAAAGUUGUUGCAGUUAAAAAGCUCGUAGUUGAAUUUCAGGCCUGGCUGGACGGUCCGCCCUUCGGGUGAGUACUGUCUGUGGUCGGGUCCUACCUUCUGGCGAAGCGUCAUGGCCUUAACCGGCCGUGGCGGGGAACCAGGACUUUUACUGUGAAAAAAUUAGAGUGUUCAAAGCAGGCAAUCGCUUGGAUACAUUAGCAUGGAAUAAUGGAAUAGGACAAUGGUUCUAUUUGUUGGUUUCUAGGACCGUUGUAAUGAUUAAUAGGGAUAGUUGGGGGCAUUAGUAUUCAAUUGUCAGAGGUGAAAUUCUUGGAUUUAUUGAAGACUAACUACUGCGAAAGCAUUUGCCAAGGAUGUUUUCAUUAAUCAAGAACGAAAGUUAGGGGAUCGAAGACGAUCAGAUACCGUCGUAGUCUUAACCAUAAACUAUGCCGACUAGGGAUCGGACGAAGUUAAUUUUAUAAUGACGCGUUCGGCACCUUACGGGAAACCAAAGUGUUUGGGUCC